UUCAUCAUACAGCCAAGCUUAACUGAUUCUCGUUUCUAAAAUAGUCAAGUGCAUGAUUACUGAGAGCUAUAACUUUUUUGACUUUGUCUACGCUUUUCAAAAGCAGUAUCGCAAUUUAAAUAGUGAUACCAAAAUUAUAAUCGUCCGCUUUAUUGCUGCCAUGGAGCCAAAUGCAAACGCGCCCGCCCGGACAGUCGCUCCGCGUGUAGCACAAUUCCAGAUCGCUGUCAACGACGACAGCGAAGAACAACCUAUAGGCCCAGCAUGGCGGCUGUGUAAGCUGGCGAAUCAUUACGGAGACCGUCUCCUGGAUGUCGUGCAAGGGAAAGCCAGAGACUUGCUGAAGAAACCUGACGUCAACCAUGCGCAGCAUCACAUCGGAAAUGAUGUCAUGCUGCCAGUGAAAUGCGGCCUCUACGGAAGGCUUCCUCUUCGGUUUUUGAAACGUGCUGUUAAUCGUAACUCGUCUUUCUGCCGACCGUUGUCUGAUGAUGCAAAGAUGUCUCUUGAACGUGCUCUGUUUAUCGUGCUCUGUUUAUUUCCAUACCCCGUGUGUGCGAUCCUGCAAGGCACGUUGGCCACUUGGACCAUCCGUAUGAUCACAACGGCAUGUGAGUCCCUCGGGGCUUUAUGACCUAUAAUAAGCCAACUGGCUUAAUUUAAGGGGAAAUGUUUCUGUUUCUCUUUUGACGUGUCAUGAUGACGGAAGCGGAUAUCUACGCUAUAACAACGCCACCGUUACGAUUCCAGAAGAUAACUUCUCAGUAGAGCAGUGGAUCGGGGCUGAUAACAACGAUUCGGUCACAUACGUCUACUGGAAUGCGGUGUCUGCCAACGAUACGAAGGACACUGCCCUGCGGAAGCUCUGCUUUACGAUUGCUUGCAGUGGCGUACCUGAUUCAGCCUUGGAACUCGUUGACAUAAGCAACUGCCCGCGAACACAGGUUGAACGAUGGCUAUGGAGAACACCAGCCUAUAGAAACGCCAUUUGGGGUUUGUGGUCUUUUUGGGCUCAAGUUGUUGGAAUGAUUGGAUCGUUAACAUCGUUUGGCUUAUUCUGGAUCUCGAUCGCGGUUGACAGAUGGCUACGUAUACGCAUCGGUAUCUUUAUUUUCGGCAUGAUUGGGGUUUUUGUAUGUCCGUUGUUGUAUGGUGUCGGUUUCUGUUUAUCUCUGGUUAUCUUUUUCUUUGUAAUAGCUGAUUUCGCUCCUGUAGCGCAUAUUUUUUACGGCUUGUUGAGCUAACCCAAGCCGAAAACUUUCUGCAUACAGCUGUCCUCACUCUUAAUUCACGUUCACUUAUUUAGUGGUUAUGUUAUUGUGAAGCAGGAAGCCAAGAACCUCACACCAAUUAUCUACCUUAUACCA